ACGAGCUUUCUCUCUACUAAUGUCUAGGUUCUGCCAACUCAUUGGACGAGCGUCUGCUGGCUCCACAAUCCCACCCCCCUAACACACAAACAUUGACCUCAAAUCAGGUAGGACUACCCGCUGAACUUAAGCAUAUCAAUAAGCGGAGGAAAAGAAACCAACAGGGAUUGCCUCAGUAACGGCGAGUGAAGCGGCAAAAGCUCAAAUUUGAAAUCUGGCAGCCUCGCUGUCCGAGUUGUAAUUUGAAGAUUUCUCUUUGUGAGAGGCGCCUUGUCUAUGUUCCUUGGAACAGGACGUCGCAGAGGGUGAGAAUCCCGUGUGAUGAGGCCGCCGAUCCGUGUAAAGAGUCAUCGACGAGUCGAGUUGUUUGGGAAUGCAGCUCUAAGUGGGUGGUAAACUCCAUCUAAAGCUAAAUAUUGGCGAGAGACCGAUAGCGAACAAGUACAGUGAUGGAAAGAUGAAAAGAACUUUGAAAAGAGAGUGAAAAAGUACGUGAAAUUGUUGAAAGGGAAGGUUAUUAGAUCAGACUUGGCGGCGCGCCAUACCUGUCCUCUUGUAGGGCGGACACUGGCGCGUGUUUGCUGGGCCAGCAUCGAUUCGGGCGGCGGGACAUGGUCCUGUGGGAUGUGGCUGUUUAACACAGUGUUAUAACCACGGGUCUCUGCCGCCUGCCUGGAUCGAGGACUGCGUCUGUUUACAGACUAGGAUGCUGGCGUAAUGAUCUAAUAUCGCCCGUCUUGAAACACGGACCAAGGAGUCUAACGUCUAUGCGAGUGUU
rnacentral:rRNA from 1 species